rnacentral:ncRNA from 1 species
AGCACGGCAGCAUUGGUGUGCAGUUCUGCAGAAGAGGCUUCCUGGGCCAGCACCCUGCCUCAGCUGGUGCCUAGAAGCCAGCUUAGAACUGGUGCAGACCAUGAGAAUCUGACUGCUUAAUUAAAACAAAGCAUCAUAAAGGCUCACAUCAGGUGUUGAUGUGAUGUGAUUUCUGCCCAGUGCUCUGAAUGUCAAAGUGAAAAAAAUCAAUGAAGCACAGGUAAACGGCAGGAGUAGCUAUGACUCUCUUAAGAAGGGAUUAUAGUUACUAGCUGGGCAUAGCUGCAGAGGUCAUACCUCCUCAUGGUCCCACCAGAUGCCCUUUG